UUUUUCUUAAUUAAUUUUUAUUUUCAAACUUACAGUCAAUGAAACAGUCACUUAAAUUGUCGAAAGAACAGCAAUUUUACAAAUGAAAAGCAUACACAC
rnacentral:antisense_RNA from 1 species